rnacentral:lncRNA from 1 species
UUGCCUUGCUGGAGAAGGGGCUCAAGGCACAGGACUUGCCUCGGACUUGCCAAGGAGGCUUGCAGGAGGCUCUUUGUCUACUCCUCUGUCCUCAUCCAAGAAAUGGUUGUUCCAGAAAAAAUGCAGCAACACCUGAACUCUUCUAAAGAAAAAGAAGACAAAAUGAUCUAGUGCAUCUCUGCCAUCCUGUUGAAGAUCCUAUUUGAAAAAAGGGAGACACAGAGAAAGGUUUUUUUUUUUUUUUAAAAGUGAUAGAAUAAUCCAAAGUUAAAAAUUCAACACAAUGGAAAAUAUUAAUUCAAUCCAUGCUGCAAACAAG